rnacentral:tRNA from 1 species
UCCUUCGUAGCUGAGCUGGUACAGCAAACGCUGUUAGCGUUUGGCGCGGGUUCAAAUCCCGCCGAGCGCG